CACGUAGGCACCAAGCGUUGUCCGGAUUUAUUGGGCGUAAAGAGCUCGUAGGCGGUUCGAUAAGUCGGGUGUGAAAACUUUGGGCUCAACCCAAAGCGUGCAUUCGAUACUGUUGUGACUAGAGUUCGGUAGGGGAGUGGGGAAUUCCUAGUGUAGCGGUGAAAUGCGCAGAUAUCAGGAGGAACACCGGUGGCGAAGGCGGGACUCUGGGCCGAUACUGACGCUGAGGAGCGAAAGCGUGGGGAGCGAACAGG
rnacentral:rRNA from 1 species